rnacentral:rRNA from 1 species
CAGCCGCCGCGGUAAUACGUAGGGUGCAAGCGUUAAUCGGAAUUACUGGGCGUAAAGCGUGCGCGGGCGGUUUGUUAAGACAGAUGUGAAAUCCCCGGGCUCAACCUGGGAACUGCAUUUGUGACUGGCAAGCUAGAGUGUGGCAGAGGGGGGUGGAAUUCCGCGUGUAGCAGUGAAAUGCGUAGAGAUCGUGAGGAACAUCAGUGGCGAAGGCGGCCAUCUGGGACAACACUGACGCUGAGGCACGAAAGCGUGGGGAGCAAACAGGAUUAGAUACCCCAGUAGUCCCUGUCUCUUAUAC